rnacentral:rRNA from 1 species
GUUGACCUCGGAUCUAGGUAGGGAUACCCGCUGAA